rnacentral:rRNA from 1 species
GACGAACGCUGGCGGCGUGCUUAACACAUGCAAGUCGAGCGGAAAGGCCACUUCGGUGGUACUCGAGCGGCGAACGGGUGAGUAACACGUGAGUAAUCUGCCCUUGGCUUUGGGAUAGCCACCGGAAACGGUGAUUAAUACCGGAUAUGACCACUCUAGGCAUCUAGUGGUGGUGGAAAGUUUUUCGGCCAGGGAUGUGCUCGCGGCCUAUCAGCUUGAUGGUGAGGUAAUGGCUCACCAUGGCUUCGACGGGUAGCCGGCCUGGGAGGGUGACCGGUCACACUGGGACUGAGACACGGCCCAGACUCCUACGGGAGGCAGCAGUGGGGAAUAUUGGACAAUGGGCGGAAGCCUGAUCCAGCAACGCCGCGUGAGGGAUGACGGCCUUCGGGUUGUAAACCUCUUUCAGCAGGGACGAAGCGCGAGUGACGGUACCUGCAGAAGAAGCACCGGCCAACUACGUGCCAGCCGCCGCCGUAA